UCCUUAUUGUUCGCUCUUGAAUCGGAAUUACUGGGCGUAAAGCGUGCGCAGGCGGAUUGUUAAGCAAGAUGUGAAAUCCCCGGGCUUAACCUGGGAAUGGCAUUUUGAACUGGCAGUCUAGAGUGUGUCAGAGGGGGGUGGAAUUCCACGUGUAGCAGUGAAAUGCGUAGAUAUGUGGAGGAACACCAAUGGCGAAGGCAGCCCCCUGGGAUAACACUGACGCGCAUGUACGAAAGCGUGGGUAGCACACAGGAGGAGAUAACCGUGUAGUCC
rnacentral:rRNA from 1 species